AUCUGAUGGUGAGGGAAUUUUGUACAUGUCUUCUUGAAACGCUCCCAAUAUUCGUGAAAUGUUUCCCCAUCAAACUGUAUUAUACUGUAGAUCUUCUUUCUAAUGCU